AUGCGCUUUGACACACUAGUGGGGGCAAGAGAACACUACAAUCGCUAUGCUCUAGGGGUGGGUAUUUCAAUCAAGUCGAACACGUCCCACAGAUCAGCAUACACAGGGGUGCUGGACAGGCAACAAUUCUGUUGUAACAAGUUUCGUAAGCCUGUGGAGAGGGUUGGAGUAUCAGAUGUCUCAUCAAGCAAAAAAAGUGUAUGCACAAGCUCCCCUGAAGAAGAUAUUGAAGAGGAUGAUGAAGAACCCACUUAUAAGAAGAAGCGAAAAAGGGAGACUAUAAAGCAGACAAAUUGCCCUGCUAAGAUGGUGGUCAAGCUAAUAGAUGGCAGAUGGGAAGUUAUAAACUUCAUUGCAGAUCACACCCAUCCGUUGGUUGACAAACCUUCACUAUCCAAAUAUCUCCGUUCCCACCAAGGCCCCCCAGAGGAGAAAAAAUUUCUGACUCAUCUACACGACAACAACUUGACAGCAGGAAGAAUGAUGAUGGUGAUGUCAUCAUACUCUGGGUCAGAGUUGAUCGUCCCUUACACGUGCAAAGCCAUACAUAAC
rnacentral:rRNA from 1 species